AGUGCAGAAGAGGAGAGUGGAAUUCCACGUGUAGCGGUGAAAUGCGAUAGAGAUGUGGAGGAACACCAGUGGCGAAGGCGACUCUCUGGUCUGUAACUGACGCUGAGGAGCGAAAGCGUGGGGAGCGAACAGGAUUAGAUACCCUGGUAGUCCACGCCGUAAACGAUGAGUGCUAAGUGUUAGGGGGUUUCCGCCCCUUAGUGCUGCAGCUAACGCAUUAAGCACUCCGCCUGGGGAGUACGGUCGCAAGACUGAAACUCAAAGGAAUUGACGGGGGCCCGCACAAGCGGUGGAGCAUGUGGUUUAAUUCGAAGCAACGCGAAGAACCUUACCAGGUCUUGACAUCCUCUGACAAUCCUAGAGAUAGGACGUCCCCUUCGGGGGCAGAGUGACAGGUGGUGCAUGGUUGUCGUCAGCUCGUGUCGUGAGAUGUUGGGUUAAGUCCCGCAACGAGCGCAACCCUUGAUCUUAGUUGCCAGCAUUCAGUUGGGCACUCUAAGGUGACUGCCGGUGACAAACCGGAGGAAGGUGGGGAUGACGUCAAAUCAUCAUGCCCCUUAUGACCUGGGCUACACACGUGCUACAAUGGACAGAACAAAGGGCAGCGAAACCGCGAGGUUAAGCCAAUCCCACAAAUCUGUUCUCAGUUCGGAUCGCAGUCUGCAACUCGACUGCGUGAAGCUGGAAUCGCUAGUAAUCGCGGAUCAGCAUGC
rnacentral:rRNA from 1 species